GUGGUUCACACUGCUGCUAACCUGUCAAUAAAUGAUGAAAUUGAAUUUGAAUGCGACCUGUAGUUGAAACGGGAUGAUGCUAUGUACAUUUAUGCACAUGCGUAAGCAGAGCAUUCGAAAGAACGGGAAAGAAGCGGCAACUGCACGCGCCUCAACAUGUGGAUGCUGCUCUGCCCGCAAACAAUUGUUAUCGGAAAAGAAUCGGCCGGUUUUUUUAUGGACCAACAAGUUUGAAAUCUAAUAUUUUUAUGCAAUUUGGGGAGAAAUUAUUGUGCCCGAAAAACUUAUAACUUGCUUUAAUUCACAAAAUUCUGCACAUCUAUCGAUAGAUUGUAACUUUUCAGGAUCUGAAACGAUUUGUGCAUGAAAAGCUUACGAGAAAGGUCAAAAAGCUGAUAUGGAUAAGAUACAUGUAAACACAUCGCAAGAGCUUGAUUCGAAUUUUUAGUAAACGAACUUUUAUGAAUUUGGACGGAAAAUCAUGCUUUCCUUAUUAAAAUUCAAUAGUAAUCAAGAAGCCAAACCAUAAUCAAAAGAGAAGACCUGCUGAGUUUUCCCAAGGUUCGCCCUCAUCAUAUUGAUAA